rnacentral:rRNA from 1 species
AGAGUUUGAUUAUGGCUCGGGGUAAACGCUGGCGGCGUGCGUAACACAUGCAAGUCGAACGGUUAAGCUUAUCUUCGGAUAAGGUUAACAGUGGCGAACGGGUGAGUAAAAGGUAGGGACCAACCCCAUGGACAGAGAUAGCUACUGGAAACGGUAGGUAAACUCUGAUAAGCCCGAGAGGGGAAAGUGGAAAGGCAGCCAAGGGACGGACCUACUAUCCAUCAGGUAGUUGGUGAAGGUAAAGGCUCACCAAGCCGAUGACGGAUAACCGGUGUGAGAGCAUGGACGGUCACAAGGGCACUGAGACACGGGCCCUACUCCUACGGGAGGCAGCAGUGGGGAAUCUUGGACAAUGGGCGAAAGCCUGAUCCAGCGACGCCGCGUGAAGGAAGGAGUCCCUCGGGAUGUAAACUUCUGAACUAGUCGAACAAGGAGGUAGCGGACACGCUACAAGAGAAGGUAGGCUAGGAAAAGUCCCGGCUAACUACGUGCCAGCAGCCGCGGUAAGACGUAGGGGGCGAGCGUUGCCCGGAAUUACUGGGUGUAAAGGGGACGUAGGCGGUAAACCAAGUCAUAUGUGAAAACCAUUUGCUCAACGAAAGGCUUGCGUAUGAAACUGGUGAACUUGAGGGUAGCAGAGGUAGACGGAAUUACCUGAGUAGGGGUGAAAUCCGCAGAUACAGGUAAGAAGGCCGGUGGAGAAGUCGGUCUACUGGGCUACAACUGACGCUGAGGUCCGAAAGCCAGGGGAGCGAACCGGAUUAGAUACCCUGGUAGUC